AAUGCGAUAAGUAAUGUGAAUUGCAGAAUUCAGUGAAUCAUCGAAUCUUUGAACGCACCUUGCGCUCCUUGGUAUUCCGAGGAGCAUGCCUGUUUGAGUGUCAUGGAAUUCUCAACUCUAUUUGCUUUUGUGAAUAGAGCUUGGAUUUGGAGGUUUAUUGCUGGUACUUGUGAUCGGCUCCUCUUGAAUGCAUUAGCUCGAACCUUUGCGGAUCAGCUAUCGGUGUGAUAAUUGUCUACGCCGUUGCAGUGAAGCAUAUCAAUGGGCUCGGCUUCCAAUCGUCCUUUACUGGACAAUGACUUUGACCUUUGACCUCAAAUCAGGUAGGAUUACCCGCUGAACUUAAGC
rnacentral:misc_RNA from 1 species